UAGAGAUACAUUUUGGAGAGAGGAAUCAUUUGAAUAGAUGAUGAGUCAGCGAACCAAUACAAAUUUACAAAUUUUAUCCCACUGAAAAUGCCAGCGUUAGCAGCAAACCCCCAAAAUUUCCACCUGUUAUCUUGAGCUUCAACUGACCGUUGCAUAUUCUGGUUUCUCCUCUCACAUAGCUUGUCAAAUUUCAAAUGGACAUACUGCUCUCUGCAAAGGGUUUCUGCUCCUGGAGACACUGUCUCUGCAUCACCAAACACCUUUCCUCACACCACUCCCAAACCCUAAUUAGUAGAUUUUUCAUUCGUGGCAUUUGGAGGAGGGCCUUCAGUGUACAAGCUCUCCCAGGGAAGCCCCAUGGCUGCUUAAAAUUGCGCUCUGAGAUUGGCGCAAAAGAAGCUGCGGAGAGCUUGAAAGAGAGGAAGGGAGGGCUUGAGUUGAAUGACGAACAGCUCUCGGCUGUUGAAAUUGAUGCGCCGUAUGUUCGGGUGAUCGCGGGGCCAGGGUCUGGGAAAACUAGGGUUUUGACGUUCAGGAUCCUUCACAUGAUUAGGAAACUCAAUGUGGACCCUUCUUCCAUACUGUGCCUAGCAUUCACAGAUAAAGCAGCUAAGGAGAUUUAUGAGAGACUGAACUGUCCCCUUGAGGCUGAUCUUAUGGAUCCGCUCAUGGUCGGAACAGUACAUAGUGUUUGUUCAAGAAUUUUAAGAGACUCAAUGCAUACACUGAACAUUGGUUUGGACAGUGAUUAUAGCAUAUGUGAUGACACCCAAUCUCUGAAUGUUGUUAAUAGAAUUCUGAAAGAGGCAUUUAAAUCAUGUGCGGAAGAAACAUGUUCUGUCAAGAAAGUUGACGAGGGAGAGUACCAGAAUGUGGCAACUCAAUUAGAACAUUUGGAUGAAUCACAAUUUGCACUACAUGAAGAUCUCUUAGCAUGCAAGUUCUUAGUGGAUGGUACCCCUGACCGAUCAUGGUUACUGCAGUAUAGACCAAACACUGAUGGGAAGUUUCUUAGUACUGUUCCAUCGAAACUUUUGCUACAAGAAAUAAAUAAUGCGAGAUCAUGUAGGAUAAAAAACUUUAUUGCCAAAAGUAGGGGUAGCUUUUUGCAUGGCUUUGGUCUUCCUCCUCCUUGCAGUGACUUCUCCCACAAAAUAUCCAAAGUUUAUGAGAGGGAACUCAGGAGAUCUGGAGCUGUGGAUUUUAAUGAUCUUCUGUAUCUUACAUGUCAGAUGUUUCACAUGAGACCGCAUCUAUUGCAAAAAUAUCGACAACAAUGGUCUCAUGUGCUUGUCGACGAAUUUCAGGAUAUUGAUGAUGUUCAAUAUGAGAUAAUACGACUUCUAGCAUCAGGAAAUGGCAGCCUUUUUGUUGUUGGCGAUUCAGAUCAAGCAAUCUAUGAAUGGCGUGGGGCAAAUCCUAGAUACAUGCAAUAUGCAUUGGAAAAAGACUUUCCAGAAGUUAUUUCCCUUCAGCUUCUCAGAAACUAUCGUUCAUCCAGAAAUAUUUUGAACCUAGCUUCUGUUCUUUUGAAAUUCAUCCAUGGGAGAAAAGAGAUUUUGAAUCAUGAGAUUCAUCACCUUCUUGCAACGAAGGAUCAGGGAGAGCCUAUCUGCAUUAAAGAGUUCUUAAUUCCCCAAGAAGAAGCUAACUUUGUGGCAUCUGAAAUAAAAAGCCGCUGGGUUGACCAAAGAAAUUUUUCUGAUAGCUUUGCUGUUCUUUACCGCACUCAUCAACAAUCUUCUCUGUUUGAAAUCUCUCUUCGGCAAAUGGGCAUUCCAUGUACUGUGGUUGAUGGCUCUAGUUUCUUUCAUCAUGUGGAAAUAAAGUGUGUUCUAGCAUAUCUGCAUUUGACAUGUGAUUUCCGCAACCCAGAUUCAAUGGAAUAUGUACUACAGCGACCUAGACGUGGGAUUGGACCAAAAACAAUAUCCUGCUUGAGAGAUUGGAUUUUACAGCAAAAUUUAACUUUGGAAGAAGCAUUGCAGGAACUCUGUGACAAAUCAGAUACUUUUAACGAGUUCAAAAUUAGCAAAACGGCAAGGGUGCAUCUGAUUCAUUUUUUUCAAUUGAUCAAAGGGCUUCAGCAAAUGAGCACUAUACUGCCCAUUGAUAAACUGGUUGAAGCCAUCAUUGAAAGAACAGGUUUAAGGGACUACAUAAAAACAACCCAAAAGGAUGCUGAAACUUCCCGUAAACGUUUGGCUCGACUGUCCUAUCUUAAGGAAUUUGCAGGUUCAGUAAGAAAGAAAUAUGGUAUUGGAAUUUCAUCUCCGAAAGAGUUUAUUAGAGACAUUUCACUCAUCCAAGAGAAUGAACUCAUGGGGCCAGAAAUUAAUCAGACAGUUAAACUCAUGACACUGCAUGCAGCCAAGGGAUUAGAGUUUGACUAUGUGUUUAUUGUGGGAUUGGAAGAAGGGCUUCUGCCUGUCUUUAAUAAUAAUAUUGCAGAGGAGCGGCGGCUACUUUAUGUUGGGAUUACAAGGGCAAAAAAGCUACUGUACUUAACAUUUUCAAAGACCACUAUCGGUCAGAAUGGUUUGAAGAAAGCAAGGCCAUCUAUAUUUCUAAAAGAAAUUCUUGGAUCCCAAGAGCUCAGUGUUGUCAUUUGAUGACAUCAAAUGAAGUCGGUCUCCACAUGCUGAUCAAUAGAGUAUGAGGCUCUUAUAUAGAAGAGCCAUCAAUCAGGUGCAAAUCUUACCUGUGCACUUUCGAAAGGUUUUCAGUUGCAACCUACUCAUCGAAGAUGGCUAUGUGGCAAGAGGUACAUGAAGAUUUCGUGUUGUUCGUAGACCAGAUGGCAUUGGUGAGGUUAGCUGUUUCAGGCAUGUGCUUGUUGUUUGUGUGGAUGCUUUUGGAGCCAACAAACCACAUGGUAAAAACCUCUCCAUGGACAGGUACUGAUAAGUUCCAGCCAAAAAAUUUAACUUGCCAGCGACGCCGUGAUUUGAUCCAUGGAUGAAUCUGGCAAAUGAAAGAGAAUGAUUAAAUCAUGACUAAUUUAUUGACUUUUUAUUAGACAAAUUGCAUGAAAAACAGAGGAAAACAUUAGAAAAAGGUGGUUGCGAUGAAAGAAGGCAUAACCUUUGAAAAAAUGGAUAUGUUACAUUGAACAAAUUUUGCUCGUGUAUUCCUCAUAAUGCUUAAUAUAAAAAGAACAUGAUAAAAAGAGGACAAAGAAAUCAACUUUUUUAGGAAAAGGAGUGGAGCAUCUUGGCCUUUAUAUAAGAGAUUGGGAUACUUCAGU